rnacentral:rRNA from 1 species
AUAAGGAGUCGGGCCUGCCCAGUGAAAAUAUUAAACGGCCGCGGUACUUUGACCGUGCGAAGGUAGCAUAAUCAUUUGCCCUAUAAUUGAGGGCUGGUAUGAAUGGUUUGACAAGAAUAAAACUGUCUCUUUUCAAUUUUAUAGAAUUUUAUUUCUAGGUGAAGAAGCCUAGAUAUAAUUAAAAGACAAGAAGACCCUAUCGAGCUUAAAAAGAGUAAUAGAUUUUAAGAAAUUAGUAAAAAACAAUAGCUAUUAAAUAUUUUGGUUGGGGCGACUAAGGAACAAAUAAAGCUUCCUUUAUUUAAAAUUAACUUAUUAGUUUUGAUCCAAAAGUUUUGAUUAAAAAAAUUAGUUACCGUAGGGAUAACAGCAUUAUCUUUUUUAAGAGCUCAUAUCGAAAAAAAGGUUUGUGACCUCGAUGUUGGACCAGAAUAUCCUAAAGAUGCAGCAGUCUUUAAAGGUUGGUCUGUUCGACCAUUAAAAUUCUA